rnacentral:lncRNA from 1 species
AUAUAGAAUAAUAAUUAUAAUAAUAAUAAUUAUUAUUAUCAUUAUCUACUACGUAUUAUCAUAAACUUAUCUCGCAAUUUUUUAUUGAUUCGCGUUAUCUAUAAAACCUCUUACUCUUCUUAUCCAUAAGAGAACAAAAGAGAAGAGUGUAGAACCAUUUUGAAAACAUACACCCAGAGAUAUCCUAUGCACAUGCAGCAGAGAUGCAAUACGAAUCUAAACUGCAUAGACAA